CCUUUUCCCUGAGAAAAAUCUGUUAAUCUUUGCUGCUGACUUAUCAAAUCCUCCAGUCACCUGUUUGCCAUCAUUUUCAUGAGCUGAUAACGUGUUUAUUAGAGCCAUAAUAUGCAGGUGGAAGCAUAAAGGUCUCAUUUGGUGGAGUAUGAAUUCUGUCUCAUAUAUCUGUAUGGGAAAGCUUGUUUUCACCCUUCAGCUAUGCCUCAGAAAACAAGAGGAGAACAGAAUGUCUCAGCAGAUCCAGUAGUCUACCAGGCUGAUGUUCCAAGGCGCCUUACAACUCCUGAAGUCUGCUUCUGUGCCCAGUAAUCUCCUGAAUCUGCAUUUUACACAAACUCUGAGCCAGUGCUGACCAUGCCCAGACUAACGCCUCCUGGAAUAGCCUUCCCUACCGCUGAAAACCUUGCCAGAAUUAAUCACAGAUCAAUGCAUCAAAACCUGUGAGAAACAAGUCCCAGACUCAUGGUCCUUGCUCACAACUCAUUGCUCCUGAUACAAGAGUGAUCAUUUCUACCACAUUUUGUUUCAUCCUUGUCCCUGACUACUUGGCUGAAAUUCUUGAAUUGAGGAAAAUACUGACAAGUAUCAAAUAAUGUAUGAACCUUUGACACAGCAUUGCAGAAAAAAAUGGCAUUUCUACUAAGAUUUGUGAACAUUCCAGAUUCACCAGUUUUUCUAAAAAUACCUCUUAAUACCCCAGUAUUAACAAAUGAAAAAGAACUGGAGAAUAUAAAGAAAAAACAAUGAAGAAAGAAAUGGAAAAAAAACCUUGCAAUAUUUGACUGCAAAAGCUAUCGUUGGAGAGAUCAUAUUAUGCAGUUGGUUCUAUCUAACCACCUCACCUAAAACUUGUGGCAGUUAGAGAUAAUCCAACAGUGGAAAGCAGAGAAUCCAACAGAAAGGCAGAGGUCUGCCUCAAAGGGCCAGCAACAUCCUUUUUUUGCUCUCAGAGCAGUUCCUACUUCAUGUGUGGUGUCCCACAGGCCCAUUGGACCACAAGCCCUAAGGAGGAGCACUAAGCCAGUUAUUCCUGUUUUUGAAGGGGAAGUGAGGGGAGAGACAGGAGGAGGCAAAAAUGGUGGUGGCUGCUGGAGAAGCAGAAUUUGAAGAUCAAGAUUUCCCAACUGAGAUUAGAAGAAAAAUAAAAUAAAAAAAUAAAGAACUGUAUCUCCUUGGGUAUUUUCUGACACUUCCCAAAAUGUAUCUAAACAGUGCUGGUCUUAUCAGAUAGGGGCACUGAGAGAUGGAUGUGAGCCAGCUGACAGCCAUGUGAGUAAAGGAGGGCAAGGGGCAGCCAACAUGAAAGCUCAGGCUACUGCAGAGCAAGGGAAAGCAUUUCCCAGGCUGUCCCUUAAGUAUAGAGAAAGGAGAGGAACACCACAGAAAGAAAGCAGGCCAUGCCCGAACCCCUGGGGGAUAAACAUUUAAGGACAAGGUAGAAAAGAAUUGCUUAGAGCCAUUGCAAACCCAGCAGUGCUGAGUUCAGCCUGGGCCAAGGCACUCCAGCCCAGCUCGCCAAACUUCGAAGUGGCUCCAUACAAACCUAAGCAGCCUCUUACCUUCCUAUCUGAUGGGCUCUUAAUGCAGCUCCUCCAUCUCCUACGUGUGAACAGUUGUAAUGUUUUGCUCUUACUUGCUAUAGGAUACAAGAGCUGUAAUAGCAAGGGAAAGGCUGAAGAGAAAACAGGAUAAGAACCUAGGAUUAAAGAAAAAAUUAUUAAUUGUCAUUAAUAAAAAAAAAACCUAAACAGAGUUGCAAGUUUCUGUAUUUAUCAUACAAACUUCCCUUGAAAACAAACAAGCCCUAGUCCCCCCGAGGACUUUUCCUACAGUCACUGAAGAUAUCUAAUGAGGCAAUAUUUAAGAGACCUAAUUAUAAGAAAAAAAUAAACCUUGAUAACAAUCUUAUCCCACGUACAGCUCAAAUAUGACUCAGAGUUUAUUUUAAUAAUCCUCUCAGGUUAACACAACACAGUCCAAGCUAUGCUGUAGCAAUGCAACUACUGAGAGAUCAUGAAGAGGAGCUAGGAAGUCACCCACAACAGGAUGCCUGACAAAACAAAGGUGAAAGACCAGAGAUGUGCUAUGGAGGGCUGCAAAUAGCAGCCUUGAGAAAGCAGGGCUUUGCAUUGCAAACUCAUAUCAUUAUAUCAAUUUUGGCCACUUUGCUCUGAUCACCUGUGUCAACAAGGCAUUUCCUCUGUUCUGUACCUUGAGCCACAUUGC